UCAUGACAUGGCUUAACUAUUAUCUCUGUACGAAAAAGAAAAGUGGAUAAAACGCACGACCAAAUAGCAACGAGAUAUAUUUCGACUUUAUAAAAACAAAAAGCGAAAUAUGGAACACAUCUCGGCAACAAAACUGACUCUGCUCGUGGCAAAACACAUAAAUAAAUGAUGAUGAUUGUUGACUAUGCAUGGAUAAAAACCUAGUAUUAUCACCUAAUAAUUUUUUUUAUUUCGGCUCGUAUAUGCAUUAUAUAGUUUUUGUCAUGACCUAAUAUACAUGUGUGCAUACAUACACAUCAAAGUUUAUAGCUAUGUAUGUGCAUAAGGUUGUGUGCAAUCAAGUCUCAUGGUUUAUUUGCAGGUGAAUUUAAUAUCAGGUAGCGAGCGAGGAGGAUGAUUGUGUUGAAGUCAACAUUCUGCUGGACAACUAAGGCGAUUAUAAUAAUUGACGAUGGGCCGGAUAGGUACGGAAACCGGAGGUGGACGCUGAAAAGGGGUGAGCUGUGCAAAAAAUUCCAUCCGUUUACUAAUUACCUCAUUUAUUACAGUACAGCCAACCAUCACCUAAUUCUGUCGAGGAGACGAGCAUACAUACAUAUUUUAUCGUUGCAAACAUUAUCAUCAUAUAAAUAAUUAGUGAGUGAACAAACCUGCAUAGUAAUUUUUGACGUGCUAAUCUCUUACUUUGUGUGUCGAUGAAUUCAUUAUGUCCUCUCUUAUAAAUAAGCAAGCACGACAAAUAAAUAGUCAUACUUUUUGUAGCCCAACAAGUAAGGACUUAAAUAUCCUCACUUUGUAUUUACGAUAAUUCAAAAACGGUUUGGACAUUUUUGAUUGCUUCAUGGUUUCAAAUAAAUGUUGGAACAUUGUACCAAUAAAUUAUUCGCUAUUGACAAGGGUAA